rnacentral:rRNA from 1 species
UGGGGAAUAUUGGACAAUGGGGGCAACCCUGAUCCAGCAAUGCCGCGUGUGUGAAGAAGGUCUUCGGAUUGUAAAGCACUUUCGACGGGGACGAUGAUGACGGUACCCGUAGAAGAAGCCCCGGCUAACUUCGUGCCAGCAGCCGCGGUAAUACGAAGGGGGCUAGCGUUGCUCGGAAUGACUGGGCGUAAAGGGCGUGUAGGCGGUUUACACAGUCAGAUGUGAAAUCCCCGGGCUUAACCUGGGAGCUGCAUUUGAUACGUGUAGACUAGAGUGUGAGAGAGGGCUGUGGAAUUCCCAGUGUAGAGGUGAAAUUCGUA